rnacentral:rRNA from 1 species
GCCGGCAGCUAGCUCUCUGCAACUCUCACAUGGUCUCCCACUGAAGCUAAGCAAAGCUGCACCCUAUCAGCACCUGGAUGGGAGACCACAUGGGAAAGCUAGGUUGCUGCCAGAA